AUACGGAGGGGGCUAGCGUUGUUCGGAAUUACUGGGCGUAAAGCGCGCGUAGGCGGUUUGGUCAGUCGGAUGUGAAAGCCCCAGGCUCAACCUGGGCAUGGCAUUCGAUACUGCCUGACUAGAGUAUGGUAGAGGGAAGUGGAAUUUCCGGUGUAGCGGUGAAAUGCGUAGAUAUCGGAAGGAACACCAGUGGCGAAGGCGACUUCCUGGGCCAAUACUGACGCUGAGGUGCGAAAGCGUGGGGAGCAAACAGGAUUAGAUACCCUAGUAGUCC
rnacentral:rRNA from 1 species